rnacentral:lncRNA from 1 species
GUUGUCUUUGAUUCAUAAGACUAUUUAUGCCCAGGCAAAAGAACGGGAACCAGUAAGCAAUCCACAGGUGGAUACGGCGGGAUUGGUUCAGCCUGGAGACUGGGUGUACGUGAAGGUGUUCAGACGGAAGAGCCUCCAUCCACGACGGGAAGGGCCUUACAGGGUGACACACGUUACCCCGACGGCGGUAAGAGUGCAAGGGUCAAGUGUCUGGUAUCACCUCAAUUUCUGUUGCAGAGCAUUAAAACCAGGCGAUGACAAGGAAGCUCAGCUCAGCAACGAGAGACAGGAUGGAGGACAUGCUCUUGGAGCAGCUAGACCUGAGCAAGGGACCGGUGGAGGUCCUGGAACAGACCGGGCCGGGAUUGGCCUCACAAAGGAGGGUGAGGGUCCGGAUUGUUCUGGACCGGGAAAACCGGCCGGAGAGAUGGAGGAACGCGGUCGUGACAAUGGUGGCAAGUAUAGUGGUGGUGGUUUGUCUGGGGUUGAUUUAUGUUUCAGCACCGCGGAGCAGGGAGCCCUGGAAGGAGGAGAUGUCUUACAAUCAGGAGACCGGAUCCAUACAUCAGACGUCCCGAGUCCCCGACACCCAUGGCAGGAGGGCCGCCUCCUCGACCCAAGCACCCUCCAUAAUCACCCGGAGCAAGCGAGGGAGUACCAGUAUGACCCCUUACCCCUAUUUCACGGUCCUAUUCACCAUCCCAGUGAAUGGAAGUAGGUUCCCAACAGGUGUCCUCGGUGGGGAAGUCCAGGGGGACAGGAGUAUGGAUGGGAAAGGAGAAGGGAGAAGGGUGAAGCGUCAACUGGUUGAUAGGGAUGGAGAGGAGGAGGCGGAACAGACGGUGGCCAAAGGGAAAAACAUGUGGUAUAGGUGGGCUUUGUAUACUGCCAGGACGGUAAGACCGGGGAAGAGCUGCUACGUUUGUUCUAUGGCACAGGAGGAGAGGGUAGUGAUUCCAGUGCCUUGGAGGUCGGAGGACUGUCCUGAGCAUUAUUGGGAUCACAAGGAGAUUGAACUAAAGCCAUACUGUCCGUUUGAAUGUAUGAUUUACCUUGGAAGUGCAACACACCGAGAGAGGGUUAAACCAUGGGGAAAAGUGCAACGUAAACUUAUAGAUGUAUGCAGUAUAGAUUCACAUACGUGGCCUAGUACGGAUGAGGGGAAGAUUAUGGAUUACACUGUUGGAUCGGAAUUUCUGUUUGAGUGUUUUGACAGGACGGACUCAGCGGACGCGGCUUCUGAGAACC